CCUGGUGCUGCGGGCCCGCGUGCUUGUGCUCAUGUUUCGGCAGCGGCUUCGGCGCGGCCUUGGGGCCGGGCUCGGCCGCGUGCUGCAGGGAAGAAUCAACAUUUAAAGUUUCCGAAAGGAAAUGAAACACGGCAGCACCCCUGGUCAGAGUCACAGCUUCUUCAGAAAGAAACUUAAUUCAACUGCAGGAGUAGUCUGAGAGAGCUGGAACAUACUGUCUUAUUCUAGAACUCCAGUAGCAGAUUAUCAGAUGAAAGCACACUCAACCAGUUAAACAAAAUAGAAGUGAUGGAGUCUCACACUCAUGUCCAUAUACAAGGAUUCACCAGCACUGUAAGUGAACCUGCUAGAUCAGACCAUUUCAAGAACCACAAACAUGGUUACGUGUGAGACAGACAAGAUUCUCCAUGACCUUUGCAGGAUGUUGUAUCCUUGCUUUGCACCAUUCACAACAAGAUAUCAAUAACACAUCGCUCAAACACUCAGAGACCCUGUUAUCAACAUCUCAUCACUUAAGUACCUGUGCAACUCUUCAAUCACGUACAACACACAAUUUGGCAAAACAAAGUAGGAAAAUAACUACAAAGUAAUAUCUGAGCCGUUGUGUUGUGAGCCUUUCUGACUGUGUAGAUCACCAGACAAGAGAGACAAAUUAGCGUGAAGGGCUGCUCUUCAACAGGAAAUGUUACACCCUUUCCAAAAGGAAAGGUCCAUUGAUACCAGCCCGAGUACUGUGGGACAUUGCAGCUAGAAUCUCCUUGCAUAUUGUCAGAAACAGGACACAAGACUUCUGUUGUUCGGCUCUUCUCCUCCUCCUUAAGGUAGUUUAUUAUAGGAUUGGCUGCAAACGUUGUCUUUGGUGUGUGAUCUGAGGUGCAAUUGACCUGGAUGAUGGGUAAGAAAGCCUGCUGAGACCCAACUCCCACUAGUGCAAACCUACCUUCAGCUGGGAUCCAGAGGCACCAGUAUCUCAAGAAUUAUUGCAAUAGGAAGGGUCCUGGGACAGCAGAACCAGCCAGCAGACUGAAGCCCAUGCAUCACAGCCACCAGCAGGGGGACCUAUGCACCAAGCAGACCCACUCCCUCACAACAUCAGUGUGAGGUAAGAAUGCCCAGACCUGUGGACAUCAGCAUCCCCAUCACACGUGCUGUCUCCAGGGGCUUGGAAAGGUGGCCAGGUCAGUGUGCUCUGGGGUAAAGCUCAGUGGGCUGGGUCCCAGCUCAAAGGGCCCUGGAGAGUUUUAACCAGAUUAAAAAACUAAAAACCAGUUCGAACUGAUCAGCUGCGCAGUAGGGCGUAAGUGAGCAUCAGCUUCCAUGGGAGUUGGACCUAUUUAUUUCAGGCCCUCAGCCUGGACUUAAUUAACUCAUUAGCAGAAUCCUUUACAUCCAGGGCCCAGACUUGCAUUGGGUGUGGUCUGGUCCUUACGUAUCACUGCAGCCAAGACCCGAACCAGGACCCUGAUGGCCUGGAGUCAGCAGCUCCCCAAGGUGAACCAGUCAGGAAUUCUCUCCUGGACCAAGCUGAUAAGAACUCCCUUGAAUUGCUCUUGUCUGCAGUCAUCGCCCUGGCUAGGCUUCUAGGGUCUGCACGGGGCCAGUCUGAGCUAGAAGCUGCCACCCCCUUGUCCAAGCUAGCAGAAGCUCUAGGGGGCUGCUCAUGGCUGGAAGCCCCUUGCUGUUUGUCAAGGCAGUUGGAGCUGUGCUCAGCUGAGGGUCACCUCCUUCUGUAUGGUGUAGGAGCCAUUUUGUAUUGGCCAUAGCUGCAGAUGGCUCUUUGCAGGUCCUGCGAGGGCCUUUCACAAGGUGUUCAAGUGAAAGUAACUAACACUUGCCUCAGUUAUGGCGCUUAGUGAAAAGCAGCCUUGGUUGACCACGUGGUGCUUGGCAAGCAAAUGAUCCUGAAGGAGUCCAGUUGCAUAGGCUAGUCUGGUGAAAGAAAUACGUAAAAUAGCCAGGAAAUAGGACACUUUUGAAAAAUGGCUGCUGCUUCUGACUGUGACCCCAGCGGGAAGUAUGUUCAAACCCCACUCUGUGACUGGCUCCGUCUCGCACCCUCUAUGUUGUCACCCAGAGCCCCACACCACGUUGGAGGGUGGAGUCACAGAGCUGAUGUGUUCGCUGGCUGGGAAUGAAGGGCUUUACCCUGGCAGAUGGCCUGCAUGCUGCCCCACCCACGCAUGCUGAUGCUGGCCACUGCCCUAGAGGGGAGCCUGCAAAGUGCUGCCUGUCAAAGCAUCACAGAAAUCAAAUCCCAAGAGGAAAAGGCUUGCAGUGAAAACACUCCAUCUUAGCUGGUGACACAACCCGGGAGGAGGCUUGGUCUGCCCCACAUCUUGCCCUUCUCUGUCUCUCUCUGCCAUGGUUCAGCAUUUCUCGUUCCUAAAUCCCGGUCAGCUGGUUAACCUGCAGACCUUUCCCCUGGGUUUACCUGGCUCCUCUGACCAUGCCAACGCGCAUGCUCCAGCUGAUCUCCCGGCUACCUUUCCGAAGGAGUCUGACCUGUGAGCUAUUCUUAGCUGUGCUGUAAAAUCAUGGCGCUAUUUUGAUCCCAUCUCUGUACUGUAAGCUGCAGGCUGCUGACAGGCUCUGCACCACCAUGUGUGACGAACACCUUAUCUGUGAACAAGGCUGGAUUGUGACCUUGUACCUGGGCUUGUCUGCCUUGCCCAGGGCUACAGGCUCUCCACACCAGGAUCUGGUUUAUGGGCAUUUCAGGAAUGAGCACCACAUGGCUUGGGGAUGACAGAAGCUGGCCGGGGCUCCUGCCAUGCUGUCCUUUGGCCUGCGCCGCUUCUGGGACUGCAGAGGAUGCUGCAGAUCCACUGGCCCCAUGCUGAGAGAAGGGUGUUACAUGGAACUCUGUGCAGGAUGGGAGAGGGGAGCCUUGCACAUAGGCUCAUGCUGGUCUGAUGGAGCUCUGGUGCCUGGGAGAUCCAGCAGGAAGUGCCGGGCAGAGGGCUGGCUGGCCUGAACACUUGUUCUCUCUAAAGGAGGAAAUCUGGUGGGGCUGUGCAGCAAAUGUGGAGCAUGAGCAAUCUGAUGGGAGUUGGGGGAGGGGAGAAGCAAGUGGAACUGUAUUUAGCAGAACUGGAAGCCAGGAGGAUAGGGGAGAUGAGCUGGCUGAACGGGGAGCAAAGGAACCCCCUGAAUCAGUGAGAGUGAGUGAGUCAGAUGGGAGGGGAGGAAGAGUGAGGCAGGGAGUGCGGGUCACCCCAAACAACUGCCCCUCCAAUAAGCCCAGGAGGGCCUCAUCUCACCUUUGCUGUUUGCAGGGGACCCUAUAGCCAUUCCACUUUAUAUGGCAGGGAUAGGCAACCUACGGUGGCACAGAAGGUGAUUUUCAGUGGCACUCACACU